GUAGGUGAACCUGCGGAAGGAUCAUUAACACUUUUAUGUGCCCUACUAAACUAAACCGGUGACCAAAACCUGCUCGUGAGUUAGCUAUAGAUGGCGGUUUACUCUGCCUAUCUUUUUCUAGCUUCGCGAGGAUAAAUAAGCCCUAUUUUAAACUUUUUUUCUUAUUAUAACACUAACCUAUUUUAUUGGGAAACCAGUAAAUAUUUAAACGCGAACAACUCUUAGCAGUGGAUAUCUUGGCUCUC
rnacentral:misc_RNA from 1 species